UCAAAGAACCCAAAGGAAGCAACAUAAAUAAUGGUCAAAAGGCUUCUUUUGAGGAGGAUCUACCCAAGCAACAACAACAAGAUAACGAUGGUGCGCUAGAGAUCAAUGAAGUUACAUAUGGAGCUAUUUUAAAUGACAAUAUUAUAAACCGUGGCUCAAAAUUUUUGACAAGAGAUGAAAAGGAUGGAAAUUAUCGUGCCACACAAGGAUUGCCCAAGUAUAAAAUUUUGCUCUAUCAAUAACCUCUAUAAGUUUACUAAAAGAUUAUCAUCAGUUGAAGCUGGAUUUUAUUGGAAUCUUCCAACUAAAGAAGAUUCAAAUAUGCAUCACUUGGAAAAAGUUGAUUCAUCAAUCAAAACAAAUAAAUAAAAUGUUGCUCGUAAGAGAAAAGAGAGAGGCACAAAAUCUUCACUGGAUAAAAGGAUGCUUCGACUUCUUCCCCCAACUUUAAAAUUGCAACUCAAUCAUUUCCUUGAAUUCCAUCUCCAAGAUUAUCUUUUAAUCGUUUCUU